AUACGGGGGGAGCAAGCGUUGUCCGGAAUUACUGGGCGUAAAGGGCGUGUAGGCGGCUUGAUAAGUCAGAUGUGAAAGCCUUCCGCUUAACGGAAGAACUGCAUUUGAAACUGUCGGGCUUGAGUGCGAGAGAGGGUAGUGGAAUUCCCAGUGUAGCGGUGAAAUGCGUAGAUAUUGGGAAGAACACCAGUAGCGAAGGCGGCUACCUGGCUCGUAACUGACGCUAAGGCGCGAAAGCGUGGGGAGCAAACAGGAUUAGAAACCCGAGUAGUCC
rnacentral:rRNA from 1 species